ACUGAUUGAGAUUUUAACACGAAGUGAGUGGCGAACGGGUGAGUAACACGUGGGUAACCUGCCCAGAAGUAGGGGAUAACACCUGGAAACAGAUGCUAAUACCGUAUAACAGAGAAAACCGCAUGGUUUUCUUUUAAAAGAUGGCUCUGCUAUCACUUCUGGAUGGACCCGCGGCGUAUUAGCUAGUUGGUGAGGUAAAGGCUCACCAAGGCAGUGAUACGUAGCCGACCUGAGAGGGUAAUCGGCCACAUUGGGACUGAGACACGGCCCAGACUCCUACGGGAGGCAGCAGUAGGGAAUCUUCCACAAUGGACGCAAGUCUGAUGGAGCAACGCCGCGUGAGUGAAGAAGGGUUUCGGCUCGUAAAGCUCUGUUGUUAAAGAAGAACGUGGGUAAGAGUAACUGUUUACCCAGUGACGGUAUUUAACCAGAAAGCCACGGCUAACUACGUGCCAGCAGCCGCGGUAAUACGUAGGUGGCAAGCGUUAUCCGGAUUUAUUGGGCGUAAAGCGAGCGCAGGCGGUCUUUUAAGUCUAAUGUGAAAGCCUUCGGCUCAACCGAAGAAGUGCAUUGGAAACUGGGAGACUUGAGUGCAGAAGAGGACAGUGGAACUCCAUGUGUAGCGGUGAAAUGCGUAGAUAUAUGGAAGAACACCAGUGGCGAAGGCGGCUGUCUGGUCUGCAACUGACGCUGAGGCUCGAAAGCAUGGGUAGCGAACAGGAUUAGAUACCCUGGUAGUCCAUGCCGUAAACGAUGAUUACUAAGUGUUGGAGGGUUUCCGCCCUUCAGUGCUGCAGCUAACGCAUUAAGUAAUCCGCCUGGGGAGUACGACCGCAAGGUUGAAACUCAAAAGAAUUGACGGGGGCCCGCACAAGCGGUGGAGCAUGUGGUUUAAUUCGAAGCUACGCGAAGAACCUUACCAGGUCUUGACAUCUUCUGACAGUCUAAGAGAUUAGAGGUUCCCUUCGGGGACAGAAUGACAGGUGGUGCAUGGUUGUCGUCAGCUCGUGUCGUGAGAUGUUGGGUUAAGUCCCGCAACGAGCGCAACCCUUAUUACUAGUUGCCAGCAUUAAGUUGGGCACUCUAGUGAGACUGCCGGUGACAAACCGGAGGAAGGUGGGGACGACGUCAAAUCAUCAUGCCCCUUAUGACCUGGGCUACACACGUGCUACAAUGGAUGGUACAACGAGUCGCGAAACCGCGAGGUUAAGCUAAUCUCUUAAAACCAUUCUCAGUUCGGACUGUAGGCUGCAACUCGCCUACACGAAGUCGGAAUCGCUAGUAAUCGCGGAUCAGCAUGCCGCGGUGAAUACGUUCCCGGGCCUUGUACACACCGCCCGUCACACCAUGAGAGUUUGUAACACCCAAAGCCGGUG
rnacentral:rRNA from 1 species